AAAACUUUCAACAACGGAUCUCUUGGUUCCAGCAUCGAUGAAGAACGCAGCGAAAUGCGAUAAAUAAUGUGAAUUGCAGAAUUCAGUGAAUCAUCGAGUCUUUGAACGCACAUU
rnacentral:rRNA from 1 species